rnacentral:rRNA from 1 species
AUUGAACGCUGGCGGCAGGCCUAACACAUGCAAGCCGAGCGGCAGCGGGAGGAAGCUUGCUUCCUCACCGGCGAGCGGCGGAGGGGUGAGUAAUGUCUGGGGAUCUGCCCGAUGGAGGGGGAUAACCACUGGAAACGGUGGCUAAUACCGCAUAACGUCGCAAGACCAAAGUGGGGGACCUUCGGGCCUCUCACCACCGGAUGAACCCAGAUGGGGUUAGGUAGUAGGUGGGGUAAUGGCUCACCUAGGCGACGAUCGCUAGCUGGUGGGGGAGGAUGAGCAGCCACGCUGGAACUGAGACACGGUCCAGACGCCUACGGGAGGCAGCAGUGGGGAAUAUUGCACAAUGGGCGCAAGCCUGAUGCAGCCAUGCCGCGUGUGUGAGGAAGGCCUUCGGGUUGUAAAGCGCUUUCAGAGAGAACGAAGAUGGUGAUCGUAAUACUCUCAUCAAUUGACGUUACUCGCAGAAGAAGCACCGGCUAACUCCGUGCCAGCCGCCGCUGUAAAAC